GCCCUGGCUAGCUUGGCACCGCAACAAGCUAGCCAUGAAGGGCUGCGAUUUGGGCCCUGAAAAUGACAUCAUUGUCAUCUUCAUCACUAUCCACUUAAAUAUUUCAUAUUCCCCCAGAUCAUCUUAAUCAAGGUAGAAAGAGAUUGAUGGUCCAAUCUAAUCAAGCUUGCGCCCAAAGCCAUUUUGUGUCCACAAGUUGGAGCAACUAUGCGUUGUCCGGUCAUCUUCACACUCUGCAAUACUACAUCCUUUAUGUCCCACUUUCAAGUCAACACCGCCGACUGGGUAGACCUGAUAAUUUGUUUUCUGAAACGGGCUUUGCCCAAUUAUUAGAAUAUCUUCUUCUUGCUCACUAUUUGAUCUACUGUUUAUUACAAAUGUUGUACUGAGAAUUUCCUUAAAGCUCUGGUUGCAAUUAA